ACAUACGACCAUACCCAUUGGAAAACUCGGGAUCCCGUCCGCUCUCCCCGAUAAACCAGUGAGGGCUAAACCAGUGAGGGCUGGAGUAGUAGUCGGGUCGGUGACGACCGGCGAAUGCCCGGUGUUGUAUGUU
rnacentral:rRNA from 2 species